rnacentral:lncRNA from 1 species
UAUGAGCUCGAUUCGCGAAGGGUGUUUGAUGAGUCUGGUUGUUGACUCGAGAUUGAUCGGAGAAGAGCAAAGGUAGACGUGGAAGUUUGUACGGCUGGAAACAAGCUUGUUGGCGAGCUCCAGGAAUGGGGAGAUGUGGCCGUGAGCUAACCACGGGAACAUUAGGAUCCUGAAUAAUUCGCCGGAGUUUGUGGCUUCUUCUUCCAUCUGUUUAGAGUUGUGGGUCGGUGUUUGUGCAUAGUCCUCCAUCAGUACUGACCUAUAUAUAGUCCUCCAAGGGCCGAUCGCCGGCCAUUGGCAUUUGGCUGUUUUGAAAGCUUAAAUAAGUUAAGCAAUGGAGUCCAUGUCAUUAACGUUUCGAGCCAGUUUCUUCUGGGCAGCUAAUAAUCCAUGGCUCAGUAUAUAGCACCAUGUAUUAUUUCCUAGUUUGCAACACCUGGGCCGAUUUUGUAUUAUUUCUGAGCUGAUUCCUUCCAUUUGACAUUUGACGUUACUCAAAGAGGGUAAGUAAGUAAAAUUGCAGCCAAUAAUCGCCGAUGUACGGGUUUUCCAAUGAAGAUUACAGUCUACAGAGCCGGAAGAAAACCUGGUUCACUGUUAUGCUGGGAAUAUUUGAGGCUUGGCUGUAUAUGGCUAGGAACUACCAUGCAACGGAAUCUAGCCUACCACAGUUGACAGGUGAGGUUUACUGUCCUUCAUUUAGUUUCGAAAAAAUUACAAUUUAACUAAUUUGGAAGCAAUGUUCUGUGUUUCAGUGUUUGAUUAAGAAAGAUGUCAUAGUUACAUGCAACCCAUUGUUCGAAAACUCAUGUGAAAGAAAAACUGGCCACUCAUUGUCAAUUUGUUGUUAUGUUAAAACUGAUUUCAGAGGUCUAGAAACUUCACAACAUCCGAGUUGUUGUUACUUUGUUCUUUGCUGUAUCUGGGUGAAGUUUAUUCUUUCCCUGGUUCUCAUGUCUUUGCUUUCCUUCUUGUCUGUUGCAUGGACCGGAAUACGUUGAGUUAAACAUGAAAUUCAAUGUUAAUCUUGUUUCAUGGACUGGAAUUUGAACAUCUUGUUAUUGCUAAUGUCUUUCUGCAGGAUUGUAUGGUGGCUUUGACUGGAUUUCACAUUGAUACUUUUGCAGGUGACAUGAUCUUGGUGUUCCAUCUACUCUCUAAACUGAAAACGUCUUACAAAGAUGAACCAGGCGAUCAAUGGCUUCAUCAAUCUCGCUAUCCCCUUUCUCCAGCAAACAAUCCCUAAUCC